GGUUAAGCGAAUAAGCGUACACGGUGGAUGCCUAGGCAAUCAGAGGCGAUGAAGGACGUGCUAAUCUGCGAAAAGCGUCGGUAAGGUGAUAUGAACCGUUAUACCCGACGAUAUCCGAAUGGGGAAACCCAGUAUCCAAUGGAUACUAUCAUUAACUGAAUCCAUAGGUUAAUGAGGCGAACCGGGAGAACUGAAACAUCUCAGUACCCCGAGGAAAAGAAAUCAACCGAGAUUCCCCUAGUAGCGGCGAGCGAACGGGGAGCAGCCCAGAGUCUUAAUCAAUAGCAGUGUCAGGAGAACGGUCUGGAAAGUCCGGCAGUAAAGGGUGAUAGCCCCGUAUCUGAAGAUGCUGUUAUUGUGAACUCGACGAGUAGGGCGGGACACGUGUUAUCCUGUCUGAAUAUGGGGGGACCAUCCUCCAAGGCUAAAUACUCCUGAUUGACCGAUAGUGAACCAGUACCGUGAGGGAAAGGCGAAAAGAACCCCGGCGAGGGGAGUGAAAAAGAACCUGAAACCGUGUACGUACAAGCAGUAGGAGCCUCUUUAUGGGGUGACUGCGUACCUUUUGUAUAAUGGGUCAGCGACUUAUAUUCUGUAGCAAGGUUAACCGUAUAGGGGAGCCGUAGGGAAACCGAGUCUUAACUGGGCGAAUGAGUUGCAGGGUAUAGACCCGAAACCCGGUGAUCUAUCCAUGGGCAGGUUGAAGGUUGGGUAACACUAACUGGAGGACCGAACCGACUAAUGUUGAAAAAUUAGCGGAUGACUUGUGGAUGGGGGUGAAAGGCCAAUCAAACCGGGAGAUAGCUGGUUCUCCCCGAAAGCUAUUUAGGUAGCGCCUCGUGAACUCAUCUUCGGGGGUAGAGCACUGUUUCGACUAGGGGGUCAUCCCGACUUACCAACUCGAUGCAAACUGCGAAUACCGAAGAAUGUUAUCACGGGAGACACACGGCGGGUGCUAACGUCCGUCGUGAAGAGGGAAACAACCCAGACCGCCAGCUAAGGUCCCAAAGUCAUGGUUAAGUGGGAAACGAAGUGGGAAGGCUCAGACAGCCAGGAUGUUGGCUUAGAAGCAGCCAUCAUUUAAAGAAAGCGUAAUAGCUCACUGGUCGAGUCGGCCCGCGCGGAAGAUGUAACGGGGCUAAACCAUGCACCGAAGCUGCGGCAGCGACACAAUGUGUUGUUGGGUAGGGGAGCGUUCUGUAAGCCUGCGAAGGUGUACUGUGAGGUAUGCUGGAGGUAUCAGAAGUGCGAAUGCUGACAUAAGUAACGAUAAUGCGGGUGAAAAACCCGCACGCCGGAAGACCAAGGGUUCCUGUCCAACGUUAAUCGGGGCAGGGUGAGUCGACCCCUAAGGCGAGGCUGAAAAGCGUAGUCGAUGGGAAACGGGUUAAUAUUCCCGUACUGGUGGUAACUGCGAUGGGGGAACGGAGAAGGCUAGGUUGUCCGGGCGACGGUCGUCCCGGUUCAAGCAGGUAGGCAGAGUGAUUAGGCAAAUCCGGUCACUUAAUGCUGAGAUGUGAUGACGAACCACCAAGGUGGUGAAGCAAUUGAUGCCCCGCUUCCAGGAAAAGCCUCUAAGCUUCAGGUUACCAACAAUCGUACCCCAAACCGACACAGGUGGUCAGGUAGAGAAUACUCAGGCGCUUGAGAGAACUCGGGUGAAGGAACUAGGCAAAAUGGUGCCGUAACUUCGGGAGAAGGCACGCUGGCGGUAGGUAAAGUCCCUUGCGGACGGCGCCCAAGCCAGUCGAAGAUACCAGCUGGCUGCAACUGUUUAUUAAAAACACAGCACUGUGCAAACACGAAAGUGGACGUAUACGGUGUGACGCCUGCCCGGUGCUGGAAGGUUAAUUGAUGGGGUCAGCCGCAAGGCGAAGCUCCUGAUCGAAGCCCCAGUAAACGGCGGCCGUAACUAUAACGGUCCUAAGGUAGCGAAAUUCCUUGUCGGGUAAGUUCCGACCUGCACGAAUGGCGUAAUGAUGGCCAGGCUGUCUCCACCCGAGACUCAGUGAAAUUGAACUCGCUGUGAAGAUGCAGUGUACCCGCGGCAAGACGGAAAGACCCCGUGAACCUUUACUAUAGCUUGACACUGAACAUUGAGCCUUGAUGUGUAGGAUAGGUGGGAGGCUUUGAAGUGUGGACGCCAGUCUGCAUGGAGCCAACCUUGAAAUACCACCCUUUAACGUUUGAUGUUCUAACCUAGGCCCAUAAACUGGGUCGGGGACCGUGUCUGGUGGGUAGUUUGACUGGGGCGGUCUCCUCCUAAAGAGUAACGGAGGAGCACGAAGGUUGGCUAAGCAUGGUCGGACAUCAUGCGGUUAGUGCAAAGGCAUAAGCCAGCUUGACUGCGAGAGUGACGGCUCGAGCAGGUACGAAAGUAGGUCUUAGUGAUCCGGUGGUUCUGAAUGGAAGGGCCAUCGCUCAACGGAUAAAAGGUACUCCGGGGAUAACAGGCUGAUACCGCCCAAGAGUUCAUAUCGACGGCGGUGUUUGGCACCUCGAUGUCGGCUCAUCACAUCCUGGGGCUGAAGUAGGUCCCAAGGGUAUGGCUGUUCGCCAUUUAAAGUGGUACGCGAGCUGGGUUUAGAACGUCGUGAGACAGUUCGGUCCCUAUCUGCCGUGGGCGUUGGAAGAUUGAGAGGGGUUGCUCCUAGUACGAGAGGACCGGAGUGAACGCACCACUGGUGUUCGGGUUGUCAUGCCAAUGGCAUUGCCCGGUAGCUAAGUGCGGAAGAGAUAACCGCUGAAAGCAUCUAAGCGGGAAACUUGCCUCGAGAUGAGUCUUCCCUGUCGCUUUAAGCGACCUAAAGGAACGUUUAAGACUAAGACGUUGAUAGGCUGGGUGUGUAAGCGUAGCGAUACGUUGAGCUAACCAGUACUAAUGAACCGUGAGGCUUAACCUG
rnacentral:rRNA from 1 species